rnacentral:rRNA from 1 species
UACGUAGGUGGCAAGCGUUGUCCGGAUUUACUGGGCGUAAAGAGCGCGCAGGCGGUUGGAGAAGUCGGAUGUGAAAGCCCCCGGCUUAACUGGGGAGGGUCAUUCGAUACUGUUCAACUUGAAGGCAGGAGAGGGCAGCAGAAUUCCCGGUGUAGUGGUGAAAUGCGUAGAUAUCGGGAGGAAUACCAGUGGCGAAGGCGGCUGCCUGGCCUGUUCUUGACGCUGAGGCGCGAAAGCUGGGGGAGCAAACGGG